rnacentral:rRNA from 1 species
UACGGGGGGAGCAAGCGUUGUUCGGAUUUACUGGGCGUAAAGGGCGCGUAGGCGGCCAGCACAAGUCAGUUGUGAAAUCUCCGAGCUUAACUCGGAAAGGUCAACUGAUACUGUGCGGCUAGAGUGCGGAAGGGGCAACUGGAAUUCUUGGUGUAGCGGUGAAAUGCGUAGAUAUCAAGAGGAACACCUGCGGCGAAGGCGGGUUGCUGGGCCGACACUGACGCUGAUGAGCGAAAGCGUGGGGAGCGAACAGG